CCCUUAGAUGUCCUGGGCUGCACGCGCGCUAAACUGAUGUGUCCAGUAAGCACCUAACCUCUUCCGAAAGGAACGGGUAACCUUUGCAAAGCACAUCGUGAUGGGGAUAGAUUAUUGCAAUUAUUAGUCUUGAACGAGGAAUUCCUAGUAAGCACAAGUCAUCAGCUUGUGUUGAUUACGUCCCUGCCCUUUGUACACACCGCCCGUCGCUCCUACCGAUUGAAUGUUCCGGUGAGCUCUUCGGACUGCGCGGUCUGCAGUUUCUGCGUUCCGUGCGGAAAGUUGCGCAAACCUUAACAUUUAGAGGAAGGAGAAGUCGUAACA
rnacentral:rRNA from 1 species